GGGAAGGAGUUUUAACAGCAGGAGGUAACGCAAGGAGACGCUGACCACAGUAAGGCGACACACAUACCUCAGCUUACUGAAGAUGACGACCACCGCCAGGCGCAAGAAGACUUUACACCUGCCGCACCUGCAGUAUGACAGGGACUUCAUACGGAGGAGAUCGUUUGGUGGGAUGUCAGAGUUGAUGUGUCAGGAGUCGACGGCUCAUGGGAUCGGCCACGUGUGGAACAACAGAAGGAACCUGCUGGGUGUGUUCUGGUUCAUCGCCACCCUCACCAUGUUCAUCCUCCUGUUAAUCGUCGCUGGCAGACUCUUCCUUGACUUCAUCAGGAGGGAUCCAAAG